rnacentral:rRNA from 1 species
AGAGAGAGACAUGCGCGCAUAUCAAUAAGCGGAGGAAAAGAAACUAACUAGGAUUCCCUCAGUAACGGCGAGUGAAGCGGGAAGAGCUCAAAUUUGAAAAUCUUCAAGGUUUUACCUUGACGAAUUGUAGUUUAAAGAAGUGUUUUCUGCUGAAGUUUUGGUAAAAGUUCUUUGGAAUAGGACAUCAUAGAGGGUGAGAAUCCCGUAUUUGACCAUUAUUUUCAGCUUUGUGAUACACUUUCAAAGAGUCGGAUUGUUUGGGAAUGCAGUCCAAAAUGGGUGGUAAAUUUCAUCUAAAGCUAAAUAUUGGCGAGAGACCGAUAGCGAACAAGUACCGUGAGGGAAAGAUGAAAAGAACUUUGAAAAGAGAUGUUAAACAGUACGUGAAAUUGUCAAAAGGGAAGCGUUUGACACCAGUGUUGUUUUCUCGAAAAUCAAUUAAAAAUGGCUCGAUUUUGUAUUGUUGAGACCUUAAAAGCUCACUGUACAUUUUUCGUGUCUUUUUUAAUGCACUUUUCGUUUAACAAGUCAACAUCAGUUUCUUUUGUUGUAAAAGGGUCAUUGGAAGGUGGCUUUCUUUUCGGAGAAAGUGUUUAUAGCCUUUGGCCUCUGCAAUCGGAGAGAUUGAGGUCUGCAGCGUAGACUCUUCGGGGUUAGAUACAUUUGUGCUAAGUUAUAGCUUUUUAUAGACAACUUGUUGACUAUAAUUAGUCUUGUAGCUUACUCGCUUAUGCUAUUUUACCUACGCUUAGGAUGUUGAAGUCAUCGUAUCGCGC